rnacentral:Y_RNA from 1 species
GGCUAAUCUAGUGCUGUGGUGUUUACAACUAAUUGAUCUCAACUAGUCACAGAUUCGUUUCUUCUGCACUCCUACUGUUUCACUUGACUAGCCUAAG